rnacentral:rRNA from 1 species
GUCCAGGGCCACGGCACCCUGAACAAGCCUGAUCCUGUCUGAUCUCGGAAGCUAAGCAGGGUCAGGCCUGGUUAGUACUUGGAUGGGAGACCACCUAGGAAGACCAGGUGCUGUAGGUG